rnacentral:rRNA from 1 species
GACGAGCGCUGGCGGCGUGCUUAACACAUGCAAGUCGAACGGAAAGGCCCUGCUUGCAGGGUCCUCGAGUGGCGAACGGGUGAGUAACACGUGGGUGAUCUGCCCUGCACUUCGGGAUAAGCCUGGGAAACUGGGUCUAAUACCGGAUAGGAGCCAUUUUUAGUGUGAUGGUUGGAAAGUUUUUUCGGUGUAGGAUGAGCUCGCGGCCUAUCAGCUUGUUGGUGGGGUAAUGGCCUACCAAGGCGGCGACGGGUAGCCGGCCUGAGAGGGUGGACGGCCACAUUGGGACUGAGAUACGGCCCAGACUCCUACGGGAGGCAGCAGUGGGGAAUAUUGCACAAUGGGCGCAAGCCUGAUGCAGCGACGCCGCGUGGGGGAGGACGGCCUUCGGGUUGUAAACUCCUUUCGCUAGGGACGAAGCUUUUUGUGACGGUACCUAGAUAAGAAGCACCGGCUAACUACGUG